GACGAACGCUGGCGGCGUGCUUAACACAUGCAAGUCGAACGAAGAGCGAUGGAAGCUUGCUUCUAUCAAUCUUAGUGGCGAACGGGUGAGUAACGCGUAAUCAACCUGCCCUUCAGAGGGGGACAACAGGUGGAAACGACUGCUAAUACCGCAUACGAUCUAAUCUCGUCAUCGAGGAUAGAUGAAAGGUGGUCUCUACAUGUAAGCUAUCACUGAAGGAGGGGAUUGCGUCUGGUUAGCUAGUUGGAGGGGUAACGGCCCACCAAGGCGAUGAUCAGUAGCCGGUCUGAGAGGAUGGACGGCCACAUUGGGAAUGGGACACGGCCCAGACUCCUAAGGGAGGCAGGAGUGGGGAAUCUUCCGCAAUGGACGAAAGUCUGACGGAGCAACGCCGCGUGAGUGAUGACGGCCUUCGGGUUGUAAAGCUCUGUUAAUCAGGACGAAAGGCCUUCUUGCGAAUAGUGAGAAGGAUUGACGGUACCGGAAUAGAAAGCCACGGCUAACUACGUG
rnacentral:rRNA from 1 species